UUUAUGACCAUUACUUUGAACUCAAUAUCUGGUUGUUCACCUGCCUCUAUUUCAUUUAACAUUUUUUCUGAGGUGUCCUCCUUUCCUUUCAUUUGGGGAUUGUUUCUUUG